GAUGAACGCUAGCGAUAGGCUUAACACAUGCAAGUCGAGGGGCAGCAUGGUCUUAGCCUGCUAAGACUGAUGGCGACCGGCGCACGGGUGCGUAACGCGUAUGCAACUUGCCUCACAGAGGGGGAUAACCCGUCGAAAGACGGACUAAUACCGCGUACACUCCAUCUUGGGCAUCCAAGGUAGAGGAAAUGAAAUUCGCUGUGAGAUAGGCAUGCGUCCCAUUAGCUAGUUGGUGAGGUAACGGCUCACCAAGGCGACGAUGGGUAGGGUAACUGAGAGGUGGAACCCCCACACUGGGACUGAGACACGGACCAGACUCCUACGGGAGGCAGGAGUGAGGAAUAUUGGUAAAUGGGCGAGAGCCUGAACCAGCCAAGUCGCGUGAAGGAUGACUGUCUUAUGGAUUGUAAACUUCUUUUAUACGGGAAGAACAAGAGUCACGGGUGACUCCCUGCAUGUACCGUAUGAAUAAGCAUCGGCUAACUCCGUG
rnacentral:rRNA from 1 species